rnacentral:tRNA from 1 species
GCCGGGGUGGCGGAAUGGUAGACGCAGGAGACUUAAAAUCUCCCAGGGGAUUCCCUGUGCCGGUUCGAGUCCGGCUCCCGGUAC